CGGGGGCCCGGCUCGCGCUCUCCCCUCCCGAAGGCGCCGGCUCGGACAUCCCGAGGAUUGCUACUUCUUUGCCAACUUCUUCAACUCACCGGCACUUGGAGCGGCCCAGCUCCCCGCCCGGCGCCCUCGGGCCGCCCCUGCUCCUCGCCCACUCCCGACUGCCGCCUCUGGAUGACCGGGUUCCAGGGGAGCUGAGCGAGCCAUCUCCCCGCCCAGUCUCAGCCCCGGCCGCGGCUGCCGCGCGCGCCAUGCGCCCCCAGGUCCCCCCGGCCCGGCCUGCAGCCCCGGGGCCGUUCUGCUGACCGCCCAGCCCCGCGCCCCGACGGUGGGAAGUUGCGGCCGCUGCGGUUGCGAGCUCCGAUCGGCCCGGGAGGAGUCCCCGCGGGGAGCGCAGCGCAGCGCCCCCCGCUCUCGAGCGCCGGGUCGCAGCCGGGCGCCCACUCACCCUCCCUCCCCCACCGUCCCUCCCUUUUCUCCUCAAGUCCUGAAGUUGAGUUUGAGAGGCGACACGGCGGCGGCGGCCGCGCUGCUCCCGCUCCUCUGCCUCCCCAUGGAUAUGCACUGCAAAGCAGACCCCUUCUCCGCGAUGCACCCAGGGCACGGGGGUGUGAACCAGCUCGGGGGGGUGUUUGUGAACGGCAGGCCCCUGCCCGACGUGGUGAGGCAGCGCAUCGUGGAGCUGGCCCACCAGGGCGUGCGGCCCUGCGACAUCUCCCGGCAGCUGCGGGUCAGCCACGGCUGUGUCAGCAAAAUCCUGGGCAGGUACUAUGAGACCGGCAGCAUCAAACCUGGAGUGAUCGGCGGCUCCAAGCCAAAAGUGGCAACACCCAAAGUUGUGGACAAGAUUGCUGAAUACAAGCGACAGAACCCAACUAUGUUUGCCUGGGAGAUCCGGGACCGGCUUCUGGCGGAGGGCAUCUGUGACAACGACACAGUGCCCAGCGUCUCUUCCAUCAACAGGAUCAUCCGGACCAAAGUUCAGCAGCCUUUCCACCCAACGCCGGAUGGAGCCGGGACUGGAGUGACUGCCCCUGGCCACACCAUUGUUCCCAGUACGGCCUCCCCUCCUGUUUCCAGCGCCUCCAAUGAUCCAGUGGGAUCCUACUCCAUCAAUGGGAUCCUGGGGAUCCCUCGCUCCAACGGCGAGAAGAGGAAACGUGAUGAAGAUGUGUCCGAGGGCUCAGUCCCCAAUGGAGACUCCCAGAGUGGCGUGGACAGUUUGCGGAAGCACUUGCGGGCUGACACCUUCACCCAGCAGCAGCUGGAAGCUUUGGAUCGGGUCUUUGAGCGUCCUUCCUACCCUGACGUCUUCCAGGCAUCAGAGCACAUCAAAUCAGAGCAGGGGAAUGAGUACUCCCUCCCAGCCCUGACCCCUGGGCUUGAUGAAGUCAAGUCGAGUCUAUCUGCAUCCACCAACCCUGAGCUGGGCAGCAACGUGUCAGGCACGCAGACAUACCCUGUUGUGACCGGUCGUGACAUGGCGAGCACCACUCUGCCUGGUUACCCCCCUCACGUGCCCCCCACUGGCCAGGGAAGCUACCCCACCUCUACCCUGGCAGGAAUGGUGCCUGAGGCUGCAGCGGGGAUCCCUCACCCUCCCUCUUGAGCACCCCACGGAGGGAGCCUGCAGAAGUACCCGCUGUGUGCACUCUCCUGGAGCGAGUUCUCCGGCAACCCGUACAGCCACCCCCAGUACACGGCCUACAACGAGGCUUGGAGAUUCAGCAACCCGGCCUUACUAAGUUCCCCUUAUUAUUAUAGUGCCGCCCCCCGGGGCUCCGCCCCUGCCGCUGCUGCCGCUGCCUAUGACCGCCACUAGUUACCGCGGGGACCACAUCAAGCUUCAGGCCGACAGCUUCGGCCUCCACAUCGUCCCUGUCUGACCGCCCGCCCCGAAGGGAGGGAGGAUCGACGCGACCCGAAGCCUCCCGGUCACCGCCCCAGACCCAACCCCCCUUCCAGGACCCCUCCAGCCCUUCACUUCACCCCGUCCAAGGCGGGACAGGACGAGUGAAGCCGCGGGCGGGACCCUCAGGCCCGGGCCCGCCGCCCCCAACCCCGCCCGCCGCCCCCUGGACUGCUGGACUGCGCCGCGUCGCGAGGAGGGCCCGACCCAGUUCGUCCCUGCCUCGCCCGAGCUGGCCCCGGAGCCCACCAGCCGCACCGCCGGACUCUGGCCGGGCCCGCAGCUGCGCGCGGGGGACACGCUUCUGUGACACACAAUCAGCGCGGACUGCAGCCUGGCCCAGCCCCGGAGCAGCCCGCCUUGGACGCUCCGGUGAGCGCCAGGAGGCUUCGCUGGAGGGACUGGGCAAAGGAAAUGAAGAACAAAACGAUUUUCUGCAGAAGGAGGAAGAGCCUCCUGCGGAGACUUCGGGAAAAUGUCCGAAUCCCGGCUUCAGCCAGAUAGCCCCCACCUUCUGAGUGUGCCCUGCCCAGAAGGUGGAAUGGAAUGGGGGCGUGGGGGCCGGGCUUCAGGGAUGCGCUUUGGGGAUCGUCAGGCGUUUCCAAGGUUGGGACCCAAGGCACACAGGCCCCAGCAGCCCGCACCCACCGAGUCCGACCCUUGGCUCUUCCCAACUCCACCUGAACUGCCCAGUUCCCAAGGGCCCAGGCAGCUCCUACUAGUGACCAGACUCUCAGCCCCCGCCUUGCCCCUACCUCGGCGUCUCUUCCAUCUACCCACCUCGCAGCUCCCCCUCCUACCCGUCCUUUUCCGAUCCCACGUCGCUCUUCAUCUCUCCUCCCUAACUCGCCGCCCUCCCCUGAGGCUGCCCCCCGUGCCUGCCUCAGGACCAGUUUCUGCAGGCCGCGGCACUGGUCACCCCAAGCAGUUAUCCGAUGACCCCUGGCCCCCGCCCCGACACAGACUCAAUCUGCCGGUGGUAGGAGCAGGAUGUGAGCUGGCGUCUGAGCUGCGCGGAGUGGAAGGUGGGGGGCUGCCCACUCCACCCACCUCCAUCCUCUUCCUCUGGCAGGAAGUGAACCGAACCGCAAAAAGUCAAGUCUACAUUUAUUUAAUAUGAUGGUCUUUGCAAAAAGGAAAACAAAACACCCAACAGGCUGCUGCUUUGGAGAAAGACGGUGUGUGUCUUGUGAAGGCGAACCCACGUGUAUAUAACCCCGCCCCUCCCGCCCCGCCCCUCCCGGUAGAGUCCCAGGUGCCCGCCCGCCUUGCCUGUAGAUAACGCCCCGCUGUCUGUGCUCUGAGAGUCGCCGCUCGCUGGGGGGGAGGGGGGAACACAGCUACAAGCCCACUAAAGCACAGCACGUCCUGGGGGAGGGGGGGGCUUUUUUUUAUGUUACAAAAAAUGACGAAAGAAAAGAAAUCUCUAUGCAAAAUGACGAACAUGGUCCUGUGGACUCCUCUCGCCUCUGUUUUGUUGGCUAUUUCUCUGUAAUUCCGUGUUUUCGCUCUCUCCUCCUCAUCUCUCUUCUGCAUCGCUCCCCUUUCCCGCUCUCGUUUCUGCUUCUCUCCGCCUCUGUCUCGGUCUCUCUGAGUCUUCGUCUCUCUCGUCUCUCUGUCUCUGUCCUUCCGUCGGCCUCUCUCCCCAGCCCUGCCCCGGCUGCCUUGCCCCUUGAGGCUAGAUCAGAGGUGGCGGCUCCAGCCCCUAGGUUCGCCCCUCGCGCCCGUGUCCCGUGGGCUGUGGGCCGCCGGCGGCCGGGCCGCCCCGCCCCGUAGUUGCUCUCUCGGUAGCGGCGAUGCGCCCUGCAUGUCUCCUCACCCGUGGAUCGUGACGACUCGAAAUAACAGAAACAAAGUCAAUAAAAGUGAAAAAUAAAUAAAAAUCCUUGAACAAAUCCGUAAAGGCUUGGAGUCCUCGCCCAGAUCUCUCUCUCCUUCGAGCCUUUUUAUUUGAAAAGGAAAACGUGAAAAUAGUUAAGGGAACUGCCGAUGCCCAGCCAGGCUCCAGUGGCCCAAGCGGGGCGGCGAGGGAGCCGAGGUUCAAACGCCGAGGCCCGGCCCAUUCCAGUCCCUGCAGGGCUGGCGCGACAGGGGCCCAAACCCAGGACCCAGCCGAACCCUCGGAAGAUCCCCGGAUGGCCCCGGUCUCCUUGGCCACCUUCAGCGCGUUGGUUCGUUUUGAUUCUUUUUCUUUUCUUUUCUGUGCACAUGACAAAUAAAUAAUAAUAAUAAAUAAUAAUUAAUAAAUAAUAAUAAAAUUUUGUAUGUCA